rnacentral:rRNA from 1 species
AGUGAACGCUGGCGGUAGGCCUAACACAUGCAAGUCGAACGGCAGCACAGUAAGAGCUUGCUCUUACGGGUGGCGAGUGGCGGACGGGUGAGGAAUACAUCGGAAUCUACUUUUUCGUGGGGGAUAACGUAGGGAAACUUACGCUAAUACCGCAUACGACCUACGGGUGAAAGCAGGGGAUCUUCGGACCUUGCGCGAUUGAAUGAGCCGAUGUCGGAUUAGCUAGUUGGCGGGGUAAAGGCCCACCAAGGCGACGAUCCGUAGCUGGUCUGAGAGGAUGAUCAGCCACACUGGAACUGAGACACGGUCCAGACUCCUAUGGGAGGCAGCAGUGGGGAAUAUUGGACAAAGGGCGCAAGCCUGAUCCAGCCAUACCGCGUGGGUGAAGAAGGCCUUCGGGUUGUAAAGCCCUUUUGUUGGGAAAGAAAAGCAGCAGGUUAAUACCCCGCUGUUCUGACGGUACCCAAAGAAUAAGCACCGGCUAACUUCGUG